rnacentral:rRNA from 1 species
GGGUUGUGAGGUUAAGCGACUAAGCGUACACGGUGGAUGCCCUGGCAGUCAGAGGCGAUGAAGGGCGUGCUAAUCUGCGAUAAGCGCCGGUAAGGUGAUAUGAACCGUUAUAACCGGCGAUACCCGAAUGGGGAAACCCAGUGUGAUUCGUCACACUAUCAUUAACUGAAUCCAUAGGUUAAUGAGGCGAACCGGGGGAACUGAAACAUCUAAGUAAGGAAAAGCAACCGAGAUUGGCGGCGAGCGGGGAGCCUGAAUCAGUGUGUUUGGCGUCGUGCCGAUAGGGUGACGCACCGCAUUGUGAGCUCGAUGUAGGGACGUGGUAUCCUGUCUGAAUAUGGGGCAUCCGCUAAAUACUGUCCGAUAGUACCUCGUGGGAAAGGGAAGCGAGGGGAGUGAACCUGAAACCGUGUACGUACAAGCUGGGAGCAGGGUGGCGUACCUUUUGUAUCAGCGACUUAUAUUCUGUAGCAAGGUUAACCGUAUAGGGGAGCCGUAGGGAAACCGAGUCUUAACCGGGCGUUAAGUUGCAGGGUAUAGACCCGAAACCCGGUGAUCUAGCCAUGGGCAGGUUGAAGGUUGGGUAACACUAACUGGAGGACCGAACCGACUAAUGUUGAAAAAUUAGCGGAUGACCUGUGGCUGGGGGUGAAAGGCCAAUCAAACCGGGAGAUAGCUGGUUCUCCCCGAAAGCUAUUUAGGUAGCGCCUCGUGAAUUCAUCUCCGGGGGUAGAGCACUGUUUCGGCUAGGGGGCCAUCCCGGCUUACCAACCCGAUGCAAACUGCGAAUACCGGAGAAUGUUAUCACGGGAGACACACGGCGGGUGCUAACGUCCGUCGUGAAGAGGGAAACAACCCAGACCGCCAGCUAAGGUCCCAAAGUCAUGGUUAAGUGGGAAACGAUGUGGGAAGGCCCAGACAGCCAGGAUGUUGGCUUAGAAGCAGCCAUCAUUUAAAGAAAGCGUAAUAGCUCACUGGUCGAGUCGGCCUGCGCGGAAGAUGUAACGGGGCUAAACCAUGCACCGAAGCUGCGGCAGCGAACGUAUCACCCAAGACAACUUUACGGAGUUGACGAUUGACGGAGCGAAGCGACGUCAAAGCGUUCAUUAAAGUCGAGUUGGCUUAGGGAUACGUUCGUUGGGUAGGGGAGCGUUCUGUAAGCCUGUGAAGGUGUGUCGUGAGGCAUGCUGGAGGUAUCAGAAGUGCGAAUGCUGACAUAAGUAACGAUAAAGCGGGUGAAAAGCCCGCUCGCCGGAAGACCAAGGGUUCCUGUCCAACGUUAAUCGGGGCAGGGUGAGUCGACCCCUAAGGCGAGGCCGAAAGGCGUAGUCGAUGGGAAACGGGUUAAUAUUCCCGUACUUGGUGUUACUGCGAAGGGGGGACGGAGAAGGCUAUGUUGGCCGGGCGACGGUUGUCCCGGUUUAAGCGUGUAGGUGUGUGUUCCAGGUAAAUCCGGUUCACUUUAACACUGAGGCGUGACGACGAGGCACUACGGUGCUGAAGCAACAAAUGCCCUGCUUCCAGGAAAAGCCUCUAAGCAUCAGGUAACACGAAAUCGUACCCCAAACCGACACAGGUGGUCAGGUAGAGAAUACCAAGGCGCUUGAGAGAACUCGGGUGAAGGAACUAGGCAAAAUGGUGCCGUAACUUCGGGAGAAGGCACGCUGACACGUAGGUGAAGUGAUUUACUCAUGGAGCUGAAGUCAGUCGAAGAUACCAGCUGGCUGCAACUGUUUAUUAAAAACACAGCACUGUGCAAACACGAAAGUGGACGUAUACGGUGUGACGCCUGCCCGGUGCCGGAAGGUUAAUUGAUGGGGUCAGCGCAAGCGAAGCUCCUGAUCGAAGCCCCGGUAAACGGCGGCCGUAACUAUAACGGUCCUAAGGUAGCGAAAUUCCUUGUCGGGUAAGUUCCGACCUGCACGAAUGGCGUAAUGAUGGCCAGGCUGUCUCCACCCGAGACUCAGUGAAAUUGAACUCGCUGUGAAGAUGCAGUGUACCCGCGGCAAGACGGAAAGACCCCGUGAACCUUUACUAUAGCUUGACACUGAACAUUGAGCCUUGAUGUGUAGGAUAGGUGGGAGGCUUUGAAGUGUGGACGCCAGUCUGCAUGGAGCCGACCUUGAAAUACCACCCUUUAAUGUUUGAUGUUCUAACGUGGACCCGUAAUCCGGGUUGCGGACAGUGUCUGGUGGGUAGUUUGACUGGGGCGGUCUCCUCCUAAAGAGUAACGGAGGAGCACGAAGGUUGGCUAAUCCUGGUCGGACAUCAGGAGGUUAGUGCAAUGGCAUAAGCCAGCUUGACUGCGAGCGUGACGGCGCGAGCAGGUGCGAAAGCAGGUCAUAGUGAUCCGGUGGUUCUGAAUGGAAGGGCCAUCGCUCAACGGAUAAAAGGUACUCCGGGGAUAACAGGCUGAUACCGCCCAAGAGUUCAUAUCGACGGCGGUGUUUGGCACCUCGAUGUCGGCUCAUCACAUCCUGGGGCUGAAGUAGGUCCCAAGGGUAUGGCUGUUCGCCAUUUAAAGUGGUACGCGAGCUGGGUUUAGAACGUCGUGAGACAGUUCGGUCCCUAUCUGCCGUGGGCGCUGGAGAACUGAGGGGGGCUGCUCCUAGUACGAGAGGACCGGAGUGGACGCAUCACUGGUGUUCGGGUUGUCAUGCCAAUGGCACUGCCCGGUAGCUAAAUGCGGAAGAGAUAAGUGCUGAAAGCAUCUAAGCACGAAACUUGCCCCGAGAUGAGUUCUCCCUGAGACUUAGAGUCUCCUGAAGGAACGUUGAAGACGACGACGUUGAUAGGCCGGGUGUGUAAGCGCAGCGAUGCGUUGAGCUAACCGGUACUAAUGAACCGUGAGGCUUAACCUUACAACGCCGAAG